GCUGCUCCAAUCCUAGGCCUCCCCGAUCCUAGGCCGGAGUUGGAGGCAAGUGGCUGAGGGGCCCUGGGGCUGGGCAGGUGAGCAAUGGGGUGGGGGUGGCAGGAACUGGUGUGGCACCCCCACCUUGGUGGCGCCUAGGGCACAUGCCCUGCCUGCCCCCCUCCAGUUCCGCCUAUGGUGGUACCCUGCCUAUGGCUCACUCUCUCUCCAGGAAAGCCUUCUAAGCCAGCUCCUUUUUAUCCAUUUUUUUUAAAGAGUUGUGCCGGGAUUCUGGAACAUGCUUCCUAAUUAAGCUAGAGUAUCUCCAUCUCUGAAUGUUGUAAAGAAGGACCAGAAGACAAGCCUGUCUAGCCAGAACGUCUGAAAACACACCAGCAUGAAAUAUAAAGCAAACAUUGCUGACUACAAGCUGUCAGAAAACAAAGAUCAUCUGUGGUUGUUGCGCCUGGAGAAAAUCCGUCACUGAAGCAUGAGAAUGAAACACUGUAGUAAUGAUGGGGGAACUCCCCUAGGCUUGACUCAGAUCUGUCAACAUAAGUGACAUGAAUACUCCCGAGGGAAAGUUUUCUCCUCUCACUCUCUCAAGAAGUCUAGAUAAAAUCUGCUCCUAAUUGCUGCCCCAGAGCUCCCAAGCCUCUUUCCCCAUGGGGCCACAAGGUCUUUUACUUGGCAGCGACUGCAGUUGUUCCAGUAAUGGCAGCUUCAGCUUCAGUGCAUGCUACUCCUGCUCUGGCAGCAAGGACAAAGCUGUCUCCCUCUUCAUCUUGCAGGCCCUAGAGAUCAGGGACCCAAAAGAAUGGAGGUUUCCUGUAGCCCCCAGCCUCAUAUGGCAAGGAGAGAAGGAGGGGAAAGAAAGAGGGGGCUAGAGUGGGUGCCCUUCACUUCCUGUUAUCACCACAGUAUCUGUCAGAGCAGCAGCUGGGUAAGUGUGGGUAAGCUGGGUGAGUGGAAGCAGAGGAUUCUUCCCUGGUUCAGUUUAAACUGUUUUUAAGUAUUUUAUAAAUAAAUGAAUAAAUAAAUAAUAAAAUUCAGGUUGGAGAGAACUUGGUGGGUAUGAUAUUUGCCUUAACUGAAUGCGAGCAGUAUGAGUUGCCAGGAUUUUUAGGUUUACGCAGAAGGAAGGCCAACUAAUUUCAGUGACACUUAUAUCCGACUAUGCGUGCUUUAGGGUGUAGCUUACGACACUUGCAUCUUAAACCUAAACCCAUAUCCUAUAGAUAAAUUCCAUUGAUUUCUGUGGAGCCUGUUUCCAAGUAAAUGUGCUCAGGAUCACAGCCCUGAGAUGCAGAUAAAACCAAUGAGGAUGCUACCACUGACUUCUGUGAGUUACACACCGUAUGCCUUUGGUAUGUUAUCUAUAUCUAUCUUUCUGUCUAAAAGCCUUUCUAAACCACCUUCCACCUUGUCAAAACUGGCCAUCCCAGCAAAGAGUUUCUUCCCUGCUUCACAUUUUAAUGUCUUCAGUGUAUGACUGUUAAGGAAUGUCUCUUUACUAAACAAUAACUUUUGUACCUACCGUUAAAGUAUUACUAUAUUUUCGUAUCACAUGUGAAAA